UCAAAGACUCUGGUGACAGAUGCCUCCAUGACAAUCUUCAAACACAUGAUCUAUGGAGUUUUCUGGGUUCACAUGCAUGUCUUGGAGCUAAGGGGUAUUCAUCAACUGGGCACAGUUUUCCUUUCAGUUCUGAAAAGCCUGGUAAGCCAGAUCAUAAUGGACAUCACUACAGCCUUGUUUUAUAUAAAUAAACAAGUGGGAGCAAGAACCACCCCUCUGUGUCAAGAGAUGUGCAUCUGUGGAACUACUGUAUCAGUCACAAAAUUACUUCAAUAGCUCUACUACUGCCAGUCCUGCAAAAUGUGCUGGUGGAUCACCUCAGCAAACAGUUUGCGAACAACCAUGAGUGGUCAGUAAAGGAUACCUUUAUUUGUUCAAGAUGUACUCCUCAGAUCGGGUCAUCCAGCCAUAGACAUCUUUGGCACCAAAGAGAACAAGAAGUUCCAUAAGUUCUGCUCUAGAGGAGGGCAGAAUCAGGGAUUACUGUCCUGACACAUUCCUUAUCCGCCGUUCCCCAGGUCUAACAUAUGCUUACCCUUCGAUUCCAUUGAUCCCAAGUUUCUCAAGAAACUCAGGAUUCUGCCAGGAUGAUCAUGGUAACUCCAGCCUAACCCAGGCAGUUUUGGUUCUUGGAUCUGAUGAAUCUCUCCAACCAAACUCCAAUACAAUUUGCCUCUUUAGCCAGAUAUGAUAUCUCAAAGAGAUGGACAGAUCCUCCAUUCAGAUUCACUUUCCUUGCAUCUACUAGCAUGGAUGCUAGCUGGUUAACAUCAGUAGAGGGGAUCUGUUCUGAUGAAGUACAGAACAUUGAGCAUUCUCAGUCUACAAGGCUUUCUUACUCUGCCAAGUAGAAGAGUUUCACUAUCUGGGCACAACACCACCAGUUGUCUUUGUUUGAAACUUAGAUACCAGGUAUACUGGAUUACCUUCUAUCCUUAGAACUCUGGACUACCUAAUGAACUCCCUGAGGGUCCACCUAGCAGCCAUCUCUGCUUUCAACCCUCCCGUUCAGGAGUAUUCUACUCUUUCCAUGCUGUGCAGUAGCUAGGUUCCUGAAAGGCCUUGUGCAGGUAUAUCCCACAGUUAGAGAGCCUCCCUCCUCCUUGGAAUCUCAAUAUUGUAUUGACGGCUUUAAUAGGUCCAUCUUUUGAGCCACCAGCUGGGUAUUCCUUCAUUCAAUUAUCCAUCAAAAUAUCCUUUAUAAUAGCAAUAACACCUUCCAGAAAGGUAGGGGCAAUAUAAACUUGCAUGGCGGGAUCUGUGUACAUGGUUUUUCAUAAAGAUAGAGUAGUCUUCAGACCUCACAGAAAGUUCCUGCCUAAAAUAGUCUGAUUUCCAUCUUGAACAUGUAACACUUCUCCCUGUUUUCUUUCCAAAGCCACAUUCCAGCAAAGGAGGUGGGGCUAAAAUUACAUCCCAGAGAUUCUUAGUACAUUUUCUUUCUACCUGAAUAAGACUAAGCCAUUUAGGGCAUUCCCAGAUUAUUUGUAGUUGAUGGGGACAGGAUGAAAGGUCAUAUCAACAUGGAGACAUUCUAACUGGAUUUCUGCAGGCUUUAGGUUGUGCUAUGAAAUUGCCCGCUUAAGACCCAGUGGUGAGAGUGACAGCCCACUCCACAAGACCUUGAGUAGCUUCUGUAUCUUCUUUGAGAAAUGGUCCGUAUUAGAGAUAUGUGGGCAGCUUUCUGGGGUUUUGUGCUUAUGUUUUUGCAGCAUUAUUUCAUAGUAUAAGCAUCAAGAUCUGAUUCCCCUUUUUGGCAGAGCUGUCUUACAAUCAUUGUUCAAUAUUUCCCACCUCCUGUUAUUUAGUCACUACUUGUGUGUCACCAACCAUGGAAUAUAAAUAGCCAAGCACUCAAAGAAGCAACAACAGUUACUUACUUUACUAACUGUGGUUCUAAAAGAUGUAUUGUCCUUAUAUAUUCCAUGACCUAUCCUCCUUUUUUGCUACCAGGAGUCUGACAACACCUCUAUUCUGUAUUGGCGAAGGAACAAAGGAGCAGUUGGGUUAGCCCCAGCUUUUAUGCCCUCGGUCAAAGGCACAAGAACACCAAGUGCAGGCAUGGCCACCUACCCCAACAAACACAGCUGGCAAAAAAAAUCCGAACUCAAGUGCAUAGGGGACAUGUGGACCAACAAUGGAAUAUAUAUAUGGACAACACAUAUCAAAGAACCAGUGUUACUGUAAGCCAUCUGUCACAGAGCGCCUCUGUCACUGCCCAGUGAACUACAGCUGGACUCCCAUACCUACUCCAAAAGGCGUGACAACAACAGGAGCCUUUGCCUUGGGAAAAUCCAGUUGGAAAAGGUCCUGACUGUUCAAGGGCCCAGAUCCCAAAGUCUCUGAACUAAGAUGCUCCAGCAGUGACGUUACAAUGCUUUAUCUAGUUUAUGGUUUUGCAUCGCACUCGUCAUUGCAAUGUUAGAAAGUACCAGGGAAAUGGACUAGUGAGCAACAGACAAGCGAGAUGAUAAAAGAAAAAUUCAUCGGAAUGUCAAAUCUAUGAGCUAUAUCAAUGCAGCACCUUAUUUUUCAGGAAAAGACAGCACCAGUCUACAAUAUUAAUUUUUUGAUUACCACCACCAAUGCCUCUCAUCUCUGAGACAGUGGUUUGGGAUUCUGAGCCUAUUAUGUUGCUUGGAAUCUUAGGCCUAAUUCUAGUCCUCCUGAAGUCAAUGUGAGUCUUUCCACUUACUUCAGCUGGAAUCGGAUAAAGCUGUCUGUGAUUUUCAUCCAUUCCUUAAGGUGAAGAUCUACUCUGAAAAGUGACUGUCAACAUGACCAUGAGCUGCCAUGAUGACUGUAGGUCAGUGACUUCUAGGUCAGACUUUAUUUAAGUUUACAAGCAAAGAAUUGUUGUUUUCCAUCAACAGGACAAACUGUUCUUUAUUGCUCAAGCUUCAUCAUCAGUAAUAAAGAUUUAGGAAGCAAAAAUUCUGACCUGUUCGACAUUAAUGCUUUCAGUAGAAUUAUACAGGUGUAACUGAGGGCAGAAUUGGGCAGUUGGAACUUAGUUUACAUUCUGUUGAUGUGUGAGCCAGAAAAGAGUUCAGCUCUUUCCUGUAGAUGUGAUCAUUCUGCAGUGCUACCAGGAAUAAAAGAUAAUUAAAAUGUAUUUUUCUCAUGGAAGCAAGUAGAUGUGACUCAGAAUGCACUCAGGGAACAGUUCUGCUGAGUUAAAAGAUGCCAUUUUUAUUUAGUCACCAUAACUGCACUGUUAUGCAAGAACAAAGUGGCAUAGACUUAACCCUGCACUCAUUAGGCCUGAUUCAUAUCUGCCCUGCACCUUGUAUAGUCAUUUACACCAUUGCAAUAGUCAACUGUUCUGAUCUGAUACCAUUUGAUAUAUAUGCUGCACUGACUCUGCACUAGUGUACAGGUUGCACACCGGGCAAAGGAGUGGGUAAUUAGACCCACUGUUUAUAUUUUAGUCCAAAGGACAUAGAAGUCAAACAUCCUUCUCCCCGUCCACCAUGCUCUGCCAUUAACAUCAGUUAGUUUUUGUAAAAAAAAAUGCAUUCCUUUCCCCAGGAGCACAUUAUCUGUACAACACUCCAAUAUAUUGCUAGAAACAUUCCAC